rnacentral:tRNA from 1 species
GAAAUAUUAGUCUAAAAAGACAGCUGAUUUCGACUCAGCAGAUUAUGGUUCACCCCCAUAAUAUUUC